rnacentral:rRNA from 1 species
AAUGAACGCUGGCGGCAGGCCUAACACAUGCAAGUCGAGCGGAUGAAGGGAGCUUUCUCCUGGAUUCAGCGGCGGACGGGUGAGUAAUGCCUAGGAAUCUGCCUUAUAUUGGGGGAUAGCGUCCGGAAACGGGCGCUAAUACCGCAUACGUCCUGAUUGAGAAAGUGGGGGUUCUUCGGACCUCUCGCUAUCUGAUGAGCCUAGGUCGGAUUAGCUAGUUGGUGGGGUAAAGGCAUACCAAGGCGACUAUCCGUAACUGGUAUGAGAGGAUGAUCAGUCACACUGGAACUGAGACACGGUCCAGACUCCUACGGGAGGAAGCAGUGGGGAAUAUUGGACGAUGGGCGAAAGCCUGAUACAGCCAUGCCGCGUGUGUGAUGAAGGUCUUCGGAUUGUAAAGCACUUUAAGUUGGGAGGAAGGGCAGUAAGUUAAUACCUUGCUGUUUUGACGGUACCAACAGAAUAAGCACCGGCUAACUUCGUG